UACGAAGGGUGCAAGCGUUACUCGGAAUUACUGGGCGUAAAGCGUGCGUAGGUGGUCUCUUAAGUCCGUUGUGAAAGCCCCGGGCUCAACCUGGGAAUGGCAGUGGAUACUGGGAGGCUGGAGUGCGGUAGAGGGUAGUGGAAUUCCCGGUGUAGCGGUGAGAUGCGUAGAGAUCGGGAGGAACACCAGUGGCGAAGGCGGCUACCUGGACCAGCACUGACACUGAGGCACGAAAGCGUGGGGAG
rnacentral:rRNA from 1 species